rnacentral:rRNA from 1 species
UGGGGAAUUUUGGACAAUGGGCGCAAGCCUGAUCCAGCCAUGCCGCGUGCAGGAUGAAGGCCUUCGGGUUGUAAACUGCUUUUGUACGGAACGAAAAGACUCCUUCUAAUAAAGGGGGUCCAUGACGGUACCGUAAGAAUAAGCACCGGCUAACUACGUGCCAGCAGCCGCGGUAAUACGUAGGGUGCGAGCGUUAAUCGGAAUUACUGGGCGUAAAGCGUGCGCAGGCGGUUAUAUAAGACAGGUGUGAAAUCCCCGGGCUCAACCUGGGAACUGCAUUUGUGACUGUAUAGCUAGAGUACGGCAGAGGGGGAUGGAAUUCCGCGUGUAGCAGUGAAAUGCGUAGAUAUGCGGAGGAACACCGAUGGCGAAGGCGAUCCCCUGGACCUGUACUGACGCUCAUGCACGAAAGCGUGGGGAGCAAACA